rnacentral:rRNA from 1 species
UACGAAGGGGGCUAGCGUUGCUCGGAAUCACUGGGCGUAAAGCGCACGUAGGCGGCUUUCUAAGUCAGGGGUGAAAUCCUGGAGCUCAACUCCAGAACUGCCCUUGAUACUGGAGAGCUUGAGUCCGGGAGAGGUGAGUGGAACUGCGAGUGUAGAGGUGAAAUUCGUAGAUAUUCGCAAGAACACCAGUGGCGAAGGCGGCUCACUGGCACGGUACUGACGCUGAGGCGCGAAAGCUAGGGGAGCAAACGGG